AGUGAACGCUGGCGGUAGGCCUAACACAUGCAAGUCGAACGGCAGCACAGUAAGAGCUUGCUCUUACGGGUGGCGAGUGGCGGACGGGUGAGGAAUACAUCGGAAUCUACUUUUUCGUGGGGGAUAACGUAGGGAAACUUACGCUAAUACCGCAUACGACCUACGGGUGAAAGCAGGGGAUCUUCGGACCUUGCGCGAUUGAAUGAGCCGAUGUCGGAUUAGCUAGUUGGCGGGGUAAAGGCCCACCAAGGCGACGAUCCGUAGCUGGUCUGAGAGGAUGAUCAGCCACACUGGAACUGAGACACGGUCCAGACUCCUACGGGAGGCAGCAGUGGGGACUAUUGGACAAUGGGCGCAAGCCUGAUCCAGCCAUACCGCGUGGGUGAAGAAGGCCUUCGGGUUGUAAAGCCCUUUUGUUGGGAAAGAAAAGCAGCAGGUUAAUACCCCGCUGUUCUGACGGUACCCAAAGAAUAAGCACCGGCUAACUUCGUG
rnacentral:rRNA from 1 species